rnacentral:lncRNA from 1 species
CUCCUUUUUCCAUUUAAAUGAUUUUAUUUUUAUUUUUUUUUCAAUUUCAUUUGGUCUGAUAUGAACUUUAGAAUUGGUAAUGCUUAAGUAGGGGGUUAGACUUUAGUUGAAGUUAACUGGUCACUAUACCACAUGUGAUUGGAUUUUACUUCUUUUGGCAUAGAUAUACUAAAAAAAGUUUAGCUAUGACUCGAAUUAAUAAAUUAUAACCCAUAAUAUUUAACUGUGUGGUAAGUGUUAUUUAACUAUGUAUUUUUAUCUUUUAUGGAGUUCAACAUCCUUGGAACUGAACGAUUUUUCUUAACUUUUUUUCGUUGAUUAUUGGGUCCGCUUGAAUAUUAUGUUGGUGGAGGUAAUGAAGAAAUUGAUAGCGUGAGAAACCAUAAAUUUGAUGUAAAGGAAAAUAAAAGAGGAAAGAGCACCUAGAAAAAAUGGGAGU